AUCAGGAGGUCCCUAAACGAUGUGGAGCAUCCUUUUUUUGCAUGGGACCGACGAACUGCCUCCGAAGCUUUAGCUGAGGUGGCGCACCAUAAU
rnacentral:ncRNA from 12 species